rnacentral:lncRNA from 1 species
UCAGACUUGAUACGUAGUCCACCCACGUUCCUUUCCUUCCGUAGCUCGAGCAGGUCUAUGUGUGAUGUUGGGAGAGAGAGGAUAUCGCGCAUCGUAGGGGAACAGGCCUCGUCGUCGAAGGAUCCCGGGAACCCAAGUUCCAGCCGUCGAUGCAUGCACCGUUUGGGUUGAACUAAUGGGGAUGACAUGCCUGUACUCCUACCCGCGUUGGUGCUGAUGACUACUGUCGCGGGCAAUCCGGUUGGUACGCGCGCACCGAGGAGGAACUCCGCUGUGCCCCGAUAGCACCAAGGACCCCACCUCGGACCAUGCCAUGUGGCUACGCACGGUUGCCGCGAUGACCCCGAGGUGUGGCCGUGGUGUAUGGUCGCUGGCCGCCGUCGUCGCCCUGGGGUGGAACCUUGCCGCGCGUGGCGCCUGUUGCCAUGCUUGCGGCACAUAUGGCCGGCCAUGGUGCCAUGACGAACCAGAUCAGCUACUGCCGGUGUGCUCGCCGCCGCUAGGCACUUGGUGCCUCUUCGUUUGGCCCCUGGGAGGAAGAAGCGCUCUUGGCCGUACAUCUCAGAUCAAGGGCCAGGAAUGAAUGUAGGCAUUCCAGGGAUCGUAUUGAAUCAGGACCGCAAAUUUGAAGAUCCUACGGCUGUCGUCAGGUACCGACUCAUAAAAUCCUAAGUCUAAUCUGGUCCAUUGAUGGAUGAUCCAGCGGCUGUGGCGUGAAAAUACCCUUUCGCCAUGCGUUUUUCACAAAACAACCCUCGUCUUGUUCAAAAAUAAACCCGCCGUCCUCGCGGGAGUAGUCUGAGUCUGGUAGAGUUUUAUAAAUUUAACCCUAGGCUCUCUGAUAUUAGUGUCCUAGGUCCAGAACACUUUGGAUAUUCAGAAAUUAAUAAAGAAAUAGGUUUUUAGUAUAAGAAUAAAUCCAUAAAUUUGUUUAAUUCGUAUUUAAUUCAUUCUAACUCUGAAUUGACCCAUUCCAGUUUCUAUAAUUUUGUAUUAAUAUUGUUUAUCACCUAGUACCUUUGUUUAACCAUGAAACUUGAAUUAAAAUUGCUCAAUUGAAUUAAUCUAUUCUAGGUGCUAAAUAAUUUCAGAAAUUCAUAACUCAAUAUCCGUAACUCCGUUUUAAUCCAUUCUAGUUGCAUUAGUCUCACUAUAAUAUUUAUUAUCAUUUGGUAACUUUGUUUUGUCAUGAGAUAUAGGUUUAAAUGUUGCACUUAGUCUAUUAUAUACUUAACAACGUGGAUCUUCGGAAAACCAUAACUUCUUAACCGUAGCUCCGAAUUUAGCGAUUCUCGAACCCACGAUCUCGUAGCGACACGUAGAUAUUAUUAUGCAGUUUAUUCUUAUGUUUGGUGUGUUGUUAAUUUUGCCUACACCAUGUUUGUCUGUAUUGCUACGUUUAGCAGUGAGGACACGUGUCAUCUUAAGAGCAAGUUGGUACCUGGAAUCUCAAGUGCCAGGCAAGUUGUGCCCUUGAUCACUUCUUUUUACCCAGUCAUGUUCUGAUUAAUCAUAAUGAUCUGCAUAGGUUAAUUUUGAUGGGACCCAAUAGGUUACCCCAGUUUGACUAUCUUUAUACCUUGAUUACCACUGGACUUUUUGGGUAGUACUUGCUAUUGCUUUAUGUGGUUUUGGGUAUGGAGAUACACUAUUCAUGAUUACACUUUUUAUUAUCUGUUUAUUAUUUACUGUUCAUGAUAAGAUCAUUAUGUUAAUUGGAACAUGGAGAACCACCCGGGAAAACAGUGCUACCACAAGGGUUUAUGGACGCCCUUGGCUGAUUAAUUAGGAAAGCUAGUGGAUGACUACCUUACCCGAAAGGGGCAAGGGCAGUAGGGGAGUGGUCAGUGUAGGGAGGCCCUUGGGAUGAUUUUGCUGCGAUGGCGGUCAUGCGAGGGAUUCCUGCAUUGGAGCUUCCUAUAAUAUGUAGCGGGUUGUAACACCCACUUUGUAAAAAAAAGUCUAGAAAGAGAAAUUAUAUUACUCUAUAGAUAUGUGUGUUAUCUCUAUUCAUUAUUUCAUGUGGACAUCUCACUUACACAAAAAAUAAUAAUAAUAAAUAACAAAGGACACCAAAAAUAAUACAUGCAUCAUGCUGGGAUUUUAUUUUUUGUGUGCAUUUUUGUGACAAUAUUACAGUAACGUAAAAAGAAAUAUGUUAAAUAUCCAAAUGGGAAAUUAAAUCCUAAAAGAAAUUAUAGAGUUUGGAAAAGAAGAAAGGAAAUACUAUGUGACUAAAAAUGGUAUAAAAAUAUAUAUAAUAGAAUAUAUUAUUUCUACAUUAAGAUUUUAAUUUGUAAAAUUUACUCAAAGUGGAACCUCAUAACAAGAAUCAAAUUCAAACUUGAGAUUCAAAAGAAAAAGAAAAGAAAAUAGGAAAUAUAAAAAAGGAAAAGGAGUAAACCCUAAAUGGGCCACCGGGCGCCAAUUCGGCCCACUUAGACUUACCCUGCGCGCGCCAGCUCCAGAGUCCGCCUGACACACGGGUCCCGCUUGCCACUCACUCGCGCGGGCGCUCUCUGGCCGGUGGCCCCCACACGUCAGCUCUGCCCCUUUCCCCUUUCUUCGCCGUGCUGCUCGGAUGAGCUCGACCCGGGCGCACUUCGCAGAAUCCGUUGGAGCCCCACUGUGCACGCUCGGACCCGGACUCAGCACAGGGUAUAAAUCGUGCCGCUCUCCUCUCGCCCCUCAUUGAGCCGUGCGAUUAGCCAACACCACCGUGUGAGGACGCCGUGAAGGCCGGACCUAGGCUGCCGCGGCUCUACAUGCACAGGACGAGAUGGUUGCGGCGCGGUGGCAGGAGUCGAUGGGCCGGAUGUGGAAUAUCGGCAUCUCUGCACACAUCAACUUCGGGAUGACGGCGCUCACAGAGCGGGUCCUAUACUACACCGGCCGGAUCCACGAGGUGCGCGGCCGUGGCGGUGUGGGUGACCGGAGUUCGUGUGCGUACUCACCGGAUUCCUGGAACCGUGGCGGAGAUUGCGCCAUCGCGUGGACCGGAGUCUUGCGCUGCCUUCCUUGGGUGAGAUUCCCUCUGCGCCUUCGCCUCUGUCCCCUCGUAGCUUAGCACCGAACAUUGUAUUCAUUAGGGCGCAGUGGAUCGAGAAUUUAUCGCGGAGUUGUGACGCCGCCGCGGAACUCAGUGCGAUUGUGGCCAGACCGGGGUGCUGCGCGAUCACUAGUGUGAUUCUCCUCCUCGGAUUCGCCGUUGUUAACCGUUCGUGUAGCGCUAGCUGUAAUCGAGUUUGGGGCGCCGGUCCGAGUGUUGGCUAUGGGUGGCAAUUGUGCCGUUGCGGUCGACUGUGCCUGGGCGCCGUGAGGUAGAAGAAGGCCAUUUGCCGUGCGAUCCGUUUUAAACGAUCAGGAUUAGAUCUAGGCGUCGGGAAAUGUGGCGCGUGGGUAAUCGAUCGAACGGUGCUGGAAGCGUACCGUUUCACUCUGUAUAACAGUUAAUCUUAAGCGCUUAGAUCGGAUCAGACGACCGACGUCAAUUCGUACCCCCUUCAGUGAGGCGUUUUUCUAAAAGAACCCCUGUAGAAUCCAUUAACCAACCCGCCGUCCACAUUGAAGGUAGUCUGAGUCUGUGGGGUUUUUGCGCCGAAGUCCCUGCACUCUUUAGAUAUCCGGUGUGCAGUCCAGAGCCGGGUGAAAAUGGGAUAAAUGAAUAUAGGAAAUUAUUUUUAAUAUAAAAAUAAUUCCAGAACAGUGUUUAAUCUCUAGAAAAUUCAUAUUAGCUUCUUUUUAAUCCAUUCCGGUUCCCAUAAUUUUGUAUUAAUAUUGCCUACUACUUGGUAACACUGUUUUAACAUGAAAUCUAUACUAGAAUUGAUUACUCAAUUAAUUUUAUAGCAAGUACACACGAAUUUCGGAAAUUCAUAACUCACAACUCGUAACUCCGAGGUGAUCCAUUCAAGUUGCGUUAGUCUUAUACAAUUAUUUGCUAUGCAGUAGCAACAUCAAUUAUACCAUGUCACAUACUUUCAUAUUUAUUUAGUCUAUGUAUACUAGAUUAGCUUUUCUAAAUCAAAUUUAACAUGUCCAUAAUCCUAACUUGAAUAAAGUAUGAUCUAUAGUUAAGUUAUAAUUAAGAUUAAAGUCGAAUUAAUUAUUAAUGGAAUAUCCUCUCAAAUGAUGCAAAACCAACCAAAUUAUAAUAUAGUUUGACAUUUAAAUCAUAUAGAUAUUUUAUAAGAUCGUAACUCCUUAACCGUAACUCCGAACUUAGUGGUUCUCGAACCCGCGAUCUCGUAGCAACGCGUAGAUCCUUAUUAUUCAGUUUGUACUUAUGCUUGGUGUGAUGUUAAUUUUAUCUAUACCAUAUUUGUUUGUAUUGCUACGACUAGCGCGAGGACACGUGUCAUCUGAAAAGCAAGUUGGUACCUGGAAUCUCAAGUCCCAGGCAAGUUGUGCCCUUGAUCACUUCUUUUUACCCAGUCAUGUUCUAAUUAAUCAUAAUAAUCUGUAUAGGUUAAUUUUGAUGGGACCCAAUAGGUUACCCUAGUUUGACUAUCUUUAUACCGUGUUUACCACUGAACUUUUUGGGUAGUACUUGCUAGUGCUUUAUGUGGUUUUGGGUAUAAAGAUACAUUAUUCAUGAUCACACUUUUAUUGUCUUUUUAUUAUUACUGUUCAUGAUAAGAUCAUUAUGUUAAUUGGAACAUGGAGAACCACCCGGGAAAACAGUGCUACCACAAGGGUUUAUGGACGCCCUUGGCUGAUUAAUUAGGAAAGCUAGUGGAGGACUACCUUACCCGAAAGGGGCAAGGGCAGUAGGGGAGUGGUCAGUGUAGGGAGGUCCUUGGUUGAUUUUGCUGCGAUGGCGGUCAGGCAAGAACCCUGCAUUGGAGCUUCCUAUAAACUGUAGCGGGUUUUCUGAAGCUAGUGGAACUUUGUAAAGGCCUCGUAGUGUUACCCUGCCUCGCCUCCUCGGUAGAGGUGUAUGGGAAGUCGCGAUCCCUUGGCAGAUGGGUAACAUGACUUGUGGGUAAAGAUGUGCAACCUCUGCAGAGUGUAAAACUGGUAUACUAGCCGUGCUCACGGUCAUGAGCAGCUCGGACACUCACAUGAUUAAUUUAUGGAACUUAAAUUUAAUUUGUCAUAUGCAUUGCAUCGCAGGUGAUGUUGUUACUUUUGUUCUACUACUUAAUUGGGUUGGUAUUUACUUAUACUUAGUAAUUGCUAAUAAAAUUUUGACCAACUUUAAAAGCAAUGCUCAGCUCUAACCAUCCUCUUUGGUAAGCCUUACACUUCACGUGAGCUCCCACCUUUGGCGAGUUCAUGCACAUUAUUCCCCACAACUUGUUGAGCGAUGAACGUAUGUGAGCUCACUCUUGCUGUCUCACACCCCCCACAGGUCAAGAACAGGUACCGCAUGAUGAGGCGCAUGGAGGAUGCUGCGAUGAGUUCGUGAGAGAUCUAGGUCGUCGUCUCCCAGUCAACUUUGGGUUGCUGGACCGUUGUCUUCUUAUAAUGUAAAUAUUUAUUUAUUUUGUAUAGAACUCCUGUUAUAUAGUAAAGUUGUAACAUUCGAUCCUAUGCCAUGAUUCAUCAUAUGUGUGAGACUUGGUCCUAGCACACCUGGUGAUUAUGUUCGCGCCCGGGUCUUGGUGCCCCGAAACCCGAGUGUGACACGGGUUUCUGAAGCUAGUGGAACUUUGUAAAGGCCUCGUAGUGUUACCCUGCCUCGCCUCCUCGGUAGAGGUGUAUGGGAUUGGCCGUCUCUUGGCAGAUGGGUAACAUGACUCGUGGGUAAAGAUGCGCAACCUCUGCAGAGUGUAAAACUGGUAUACUAGCCGUGCUCACGGUCAUGAGCAGGGUAAAGAUGCGCAACCUCUGCAGAGUGUAAAACUGGUAUACUAGCCGUGCUCACGGUCAUGAGCAGCUCGGACACUCACAUGAUUAAUUUAUAGAACUAAAUUCAAUUUGUCAUAUGCAUUGCAUCGCAUGUGAGGUUGUUACUUUUGUUCUACUAUUUAAUUGGGUUGGUAUUUACUUAUACUUAGUAACUGCUAAUAAAAUUUUGACCAACUUUAAAAGAAUGCUCAGCUUCAACCAUCCUCUUUGGUAAGCCUUACACUUCACAUGAGCUCCCACCUUUGGCGAGUUCAUGCACAUUAUUCCCCACAACUUGUUGAGCUAUGAACGUAUGUGAGCUCACUCUUGCUGUCUCACACCCCCCACAGGUCAAGAACAAGUACCACAGGAUGAGGCGCAUGGAGGAUGCUGUGCUGUGUUCGUGAGAGGUCUAGGUCGUCGUCUCCCAGUCAACUUUGGGUUGCUGGACCGUUG